ensembl:lncRNA
GGACAUCAUUACAAUAUAUAAUCUAUGCGAUACAAAAUACAUAGAAAGUUACAGCAGAGCACAUGUAGACCAGUAUGGAACUGUACAAUUGUAAUACUUUAAUGUAGUGAUUUAGAAAGUUGAUGAGGGACCUUUGGAAGCAUUGGUGUGUUGCUGAUUUUUUUUUAAGAUCAGACAGAAAAUGAAAAUGUGUGCUUUAUGGAAAUGGUCUAGGACCUUUAGAUUUGCCCUUGACUACUUGCAAAUAGUUUCCUUAAAGAUGUCAUCAAAAAGGAAAGGAUAGGAUUUCUGUAUGCGGGGAUCUGGAGGUGAUUUAUCCCCUAGUCCCUGUGCAUAUAUAUACAUGAAUAAGGCUAUCUGUACACUCACAGAUCAAGAUGUGACUCCCCCCACCCCCAAAUGCAAAACGAAGUAUAAGUUGUUUAAUAAAAAGACUGUCUCCUGAUUGUUCUACCCUAUGAGACUAGGAACCUCUAUUUCAAAUUAUUUUACAAAAUCAUGGGUGGUAAUGGAAAGAAAAUUCUUUCUUCUCUGUCACACAUUAAAAUACAAUCCUUCAACCUUUGUUCCUGAUCCCACAAAAUCCUUGGCGUCCUUACAUUUUUUGACUGUACAAGGUGGCAGUGACUGAAAGCCAGGAAAAUCCAAAGCAUCAAAUAAAGCAAAAUUUUAGAUGUCAGUUCCUCCCAUCCUCACUCCAGCUAGAGUCUUAGCCUGUGCCAUGCCAUGGGGAAAUUAUCCCAUUCACUUAAUUUUGUAGAAUAAUAUGGGAUGAAAAUCUAGAUCAAGGGCAAGUUGACUAAUAAGUCUCUCAGGUUCUGAGCAGAAAGGGACAAAUUUUAAUAGGCAAGAUUUAAAGUCUUAAGAAUUGAUCUAGCAAAUUUUAUUUCCAAAUAAGAAAGCAGAGUUCUUACCAUUGUUUUUUUUGUUUUCCUGACAUUAACAUCUCCAAGAUGAAAUGGAAAUGAAAGAAGUGGGAGCACAUGGGAUGAGAAAGCUAUUCACUAUACAGAUUACUUUCUACAACGAGAGGUGGAGAAGGGUAUCUUAAUUUUUUUAAAUUUUAAUUUAAAAAAUUUAAAGACAAAUUGGAGAAAACACAGUAAUAUGGGCUGAUAAUUUGGGAUGUGAUAUCUAUACAAUCUGCAUUUCUAACUUCAAUGAACCCAAGAUUCAAAUUUUCUGUCAAAUAAAAUUCUUUAUAAUAACAUGGGAAAUAAAAAUAAGAAAGUAAAUCAUCUAAGAAACCUCAGUUUCUACUCCACAAAAUAAAUAUCUCUCUCAAUUAGGUUAUGUUGCCCAUCAAUAUAAUAGGUUGGACUUCUAACAGAAACCAAGUGAGAAAUCCACCCAAAUGUCUCUAGGACAUGCCACUAAAAUCCAGUGUCAGUGGGUCCCAGUGUCAGGAAAACUAUUCAUAUCAAUAUAUAUAUAUAUAUAUAUAUAUAUUUAUGUAUAUAUGUACAUAUGUACAUAUGCUAUAUACACAAUGUAUAUACAUACAUAUGUAUGGUUUAAAUCUUUGGAUAAUAAAAAAAAAGGAUGAUCUAAGUUAGAGGUGUCAAAUAUGCAGCCCAGUGCUGUACCAGAUUAAAAUGUAAUUGGGAAAUAUUUAACAAAAUAAAUAAAAAUACAAUAGAACAUAGAUAAUGUUAAUAUGUGAUUUUUUUAAACCAACACAACACCCCCUGGAUCUUUAUGUACAGUUUAGUCAUCCCCUUCUUUUCUAUUUGAAUUUGAUAUCAUUGAUCUGUCAUCUCUUCUCUAUCAUUUUUCUACAACCUCGUUGGUUGUAAUGUAAUCAAGAAAUAAAAGCUUUUAUCUUGACUUUUUGGGAGAAAUGCCUGAAUUCCAUGGAAACAAAUCAACCAAACUGAUUAAUUGUGAAUUUGUAGCUCUAGCACAGCAAAAAUUGGCUAGUAGUCCUUCAAAGUUCUAUCAAUGAGAAGUCACAAAAUGUGUUACCCUACCCUUGUGACUCUACGGCUAUAAUAGCUGGAAUGAAUUGUUGUAGUUAUUAAUAUUGUAGAUGAAGGGUUUGUUUUAGUGGAUAGUAUUCAGCAGCGAUGCUUACCUCCUGCUUUGGGCUAAAGAGCAGGGAAAAGCCAUUCUGAAUUAUAUCAUUAAUUCCCUGCCACACUACAUAACUUCAAACUCCAGCCUUAGUUUCACUGAUGAAAUGACACAAAUCAAUAUGUUAAUGGAGUCUUAAAGCUACAAAACCACAUUGUCCCUGCUUACUAGACAAGAGAUUUUUCCUAAGAAGUGGAGAGGGGAUCAAACUUUUAAUGUAUUGGGUAGCAAGAUCCACAUAGGAGAGCAAUAUAUCAAAAUAUGGUAUCUGUCCCUAAAUUGUUGGGAAACUUAAAAUCACUCCGCUCUGGGAGGUUAAGAUUAACAUAAUAGAGACUAUAUGUUGAAGUAAUCUGAUGUUUUGAAUUUAUUAGCACCUUUCCAAAAGAAGACCUCAAAGCCCUUUAUAAAGCUGAUUGUGUCCAUCCAUGUUUUUAAUCUUUAUGGCUAUUUAGGAUUCAGAAAACAUUCAGGGAAUUAGACCCAGUUUUCCCAGAAACUAAAACAAAUUUUUCUAUAGGGUGUGUCUAGGCAUAUGAGGUGAGUUUUCAAAGUUUUGGAAGGGUAGUUUGAAAAAUAUUUAGAUAUGGGUCAGCACCACUUUGGUCCAGGAAAAGUCAGCUGAGAUAGUUGUGGGGCAAGUUCCCUUUAAAUUCAUCAUUCCUCCUUGCCUUUUGAAAUCUCCUCUCAUUUUUUUUUUACAGUUUUCAAAUGUCCACUUUAAACAUCCAGACCCACAGACAUCUGAGAUGGCUCCUAAACACAAAAUAAGUGAAAGAGUCCCAAAUGUCUGGAAGACAUAUUCUGAACCAGAAAAAAAAAAUGCUAUUUAUUUCAGGUGCAUUUUCUAAUGUAUAAACAAAGGCUUGCUCUUUUUUCCAACUGAGGUCUGAGUUAAUAAGGCUUUCUAAGUUUUUUUUAAUUGCAUUCCUUUUUGUUAAAGAUAUACUACAGGCCACACAAAUUGCCUUCUGAAUUCUACUUCUAAUGAAGUAGAUCUCCCUGUGAUGGGAGAAUUCUAUUUGCACAUACCCCAAAUCUAGCUAAUGGGACAAAAUUUAAAUUCAACAAAGGUUCAGGUGACAAAAUGUAACUUAGGUCCUGCAACCCAUCAGCAAACAGUAGUUCCAUCAUCAUGUCUCAGACAUGGAUAAUAGCCUGAUUGCUCACUUCUAGGCACUACCCCCAUUUUAUUUCAUCAAAUGGAAUCAAAACCACUUUAAGAAUGAAAACAAUACUGGAUUCCUUGAAAUGACCAAUACCACAUCAUCGUGUUCAGAUUUCCAUGAUACAGUAGAAUCCUUUAUUAAGGCAAAAUUGCCCUUCCAUCUAGUGGACAGAAUGGCCAAAAAUUCAGGUCCUACAAUGAAAUUUAAAUGAAACAAAGUGCUUUCUUUGGGAAUUGCAAACUUUUCUUCUCUUCUCCGUCUCCUAUCCCUUAUUCCACUAAUGAAACAAGUUCAUUAUUUUAAGAAUUCCCUUUAUUAUUUUUCUAUAUGUGCAAAAUGUGGGAUCUGAAAAUGCGUUUCAGCAAUCACACCAUAACUAGAAAAAUUGCUUAUGGGCCCCUCUGUGAAUGGCUUUAGAAACAUGUGCACUUGACACAGAAAAAAACUAAACCAAAAAUACCUGAAGCAUCCAUCUCCUUCUCCUUCUCCACUUGCAUAUGAGGUCAUUCAGUGACCACAAUGCCAAAAGACUUUGGGAUAAGUUUCCCUAAGCCUGGAAUGUGAAUUCCUAAUAUUUGAAAUAUAUACAAAACACCCAUUUUCUCUGAAAAGCAUAGCAACAACUUUGGAAAACAUGAUAAAUUUGGCAGUCAGGGCCAUCCAGCCAUACCCUUUGAGACAACCAGUUGGGUAGAAUACACCAUAAUUCCCCAAGUUAGCCUUUUCCUAUUAUUCUAUAAAUACAUUAUAUUCCUUCUCUUCCUGGACCUUUAUUUUCCACCAAAAGGUCCAGUCUAAAUGAAUGAGAAUAAUUAAAUUAAAGUGAAGCCAGGUGAUGAUCGAUAUGUACAUAUGAACACACAGUAUGUAAGUAUAUAUAAUACUAAUACACAUGUAUGUGCAUAUAUGUGUAUAUGUGUGUGCACACACAUAUUUAAAGACUGGAACAGCUAUGCUUUAACCUGGGCUUAAGUAGCCACCCACCACACAACUGAAACAGUGCAAGACAUCAUGAGCAACACAACUGUUAAAUGCAAGUACCUAUUAUGCUACUUAGAAACCUCUACCAUAUUAUUAGCCUAUCACAGUUAACAUACAGUACAAAAUUAGAAACUGGCAAAUUGGAACAAUGCAAAGCAGCAAAAUGAGAGAGGAAUUGAAACUCCUUUGGAAUGUGGAGGCAUUCGCUUGAUGACAAACAGCAGAUCAAGGUACUAUAUGUGUGUAAAAUUUCUUUGCUAUGCUGUACUCUCUGACGUUUCCAUUCUUACAGUAUUAUGAGAUAAAAAUGCAAAAUAGAGGUCUAAAGGACCCCCCCCACUUCAAAAAACUCACUCUGAACUAACCAAAGUGAAUCAAAAGGACUUCUUGAUAAUUCAGGCCAUUACAUUUAAAGUGUAUUCCAAAAAAUAGCAGAAGUCAAGGUUUCUACAAUACUAGGUGUAACUGUUGAAGAAUCAUUUGUCCUGGAGCAGGGAAGAAGGAAAGAAGAGGUUCUGAGAGCAGGGAACAUGGUUAAGAAAAGGGAUGUGGAGAUGGUCACCAAAAAUCAAUUCUGAGUCAGCUUGACUGAGUGUGGGAAAAGGAUAUGAGGAUGGAUCCUCUUUUCUCCCCUCCCCUACCCAUAGAGGCAGCUUGGGUCAAGGGAGAAAAAUCCCUGUAAUGUUUUACACUCUUCCUGAUGGGAAGAAGUUGGAGGAGGGGACAGGGUUUGCAGCAUGUUCUGCCAGCAUUUUUGAUAGGCCAGUACACUUUACCCAUGAAAGAAUUUCUCCAAGUCACAAUGUUCUAGUUUCUUGAGAUAGAUUACAAUUUGUGCAGCAUAUUGUGCAUGGUUAUGUAUGUGUGUUCUACAUACAUACACACGGCACACAGGCUACCCACACACCCGAAAAAAUGUCCAAGAGUUAAAACGUCCUCCUUCAAAUUCCCUUUUUCUUACAUGGAAGAUGUCUUAGCAGCAGCCAUGGGGCUACUUUAGGAAGCAGUGGAGUUUUUUGAACCAUGGAUGAGCUAAUAACACUUUCUGAUGCUUAAAAAAUAGCUAUGUUUUAUUUUUCCAGUCAGAGUACAUGUUAUAAUAAAAAGUUCCUUUUGCUUUUACCAUUCACCACAAUUAUGUUGCAAGGGGGUAGAGGAACUUCCUGUGUUGUGCAAGUUCGCUAUCUCAAUGGCUUUCAUGGGUGCAGUAGGUAAGUACCUUUAAGAAUUGAUGUGGGGGCAGGGAAGACUGGCCAGCAUAGGACUCCUUCCACACUCUGCUUCCUCAGCACUUCAGAAAAGGGGAAAGUCAGUCUCAGUGACAGAGCUUUUAAAACUUCCUGCUAAUUCAGUGGAGAGAGAAUGCUUAUAGCUAAAGGGUCCCUGGGGACAAGAAUAACGACAGAAGGGGAGGCUGACAGCUCUCAGAAGCAGUGGGGCCUUAGCAUAGCCAAAGCUUUCUUUCUCUUUGCCAAUCAGGCUUAAGGCAUAAAUUUGGGGGAAUCUCUGCAAGGCUUAAGAGCCUUCAAUUUGGGCCUUGAAUGGGGAGACUUUGGGUUUUUUGUUUCUUGGAGCUGGAAGUGAGAUCCCAUCUUGAAGAAAUAAGCAGGGUUACAGACCCGGCACUCAGAAG